rnacentral:rRNA from 1 species
AGAGUUUGAUCCUGGCUCAGGACGAACGCUGGCGGCGUGCCUAAUACAUGCAAGUCGAGCGGACCUUUCGGGGUCAGCGGCGGACGGGUGAGUAACACGUGGGCAAUCUGCCCGAUACUCUGGGAUAACGCUUGGAAACGAGUGCUAAUACCGGAUGGUCUUCUUGGCCGCAUGGCCGAGAAGGAAAAGACGCGUUCGCGUCGGUGUCGGAUGAGCCCGCGGCGCAUUAGCUAGUUGGUGAGGUAACGGCCCACCAAGGCGACGAUGCGUAGCCGACCUGAGAGGGUGACCGGCCACACUGGGACUGAGACACGGCCCAGACUCCUACGGGAGGCAGCAGUAGGGAAUCUUCCACAAUGGGCGAAAGCCUGAUGGAGCAACGCCGCGUGAGUGAUGAAGGCCUUCGGGUUGUAAAACUCUGUCAUUCGGGACGAACCGGAGUCUGAGGAAAUGCAGACUCUCUGACGGUACCGGAGGAGGAAGCCCCGGCUAACUACGUGCCAGCAGCCGCGGUAAUACGUAGGGGGCAAGCGUUGUCCGGAUUCACUGGGCGUAAAGCGCGCGCAGGCGGUGAUGUAAGUCUGAGGUGAAAACCCGAAGCUCAACUUCGGGACUGCCUUGGAUACUGCGUCACUUGAGGAUAGGAGAGGCAAGGGGAAUUCCCACGUGUAGCGGUGAAAUGCGUAGAGAUGUGGAGGAACACCUGUGGCGAAGGCGCCUUGCUGGCCUAUUUCUGACGCUGAGGCGCGAAAGCGUGGGGAGCAAACAGGAUUAGAUACCCUGGUAGUCCACGCUGUAAACGAUGAGUGCUAGGUGUAGGUGGGCUCAUACCCAUCUGUGCCGAAGCUAACGCAUUAAGCACUCCGCCUGGGGAGUACGGUCGCAAGACCGAAACUCAAAGGAAUUGACGGGGGCCCGCACAAGCAGUGGAGCAUGUGGUUUAAUUCGAAGCAACGCGAAGAACCUUACCAGGACUUGACAUCCCAUAGACCGGUCUAGAGAUAGACUUUCCCUUCGGGGCUGUGGUGACAGGUGGUGCAUGGUUGUCGUCAGCUCGUGUCGUGAGAUGUUGGGUUAAGUCCCGCAACGAGCGCAACCCUUACUUUGUGUUGCCAGCAUUCAGUUGGGCACUCACAAGGGACUGCCGCCGAUAAGGCGGAGGAAGGUGGGGAUGACGUCAAAUCAUCAUGCCCCUUAUGUCCUGGGCUACACACGUGCUACAAUGGGCGGUACAACGGGAUGCGAAGCCGCGAGGUGGAGCCAAACCCUGAAAACCGUUCGUAGUUCGGAUUGUAGGCUGCAACUCGCCUACAUGAAGCCGGAAUUGCUAGUAAUCGCGGAUCAGCAUGCCGCGGUGAAUCCGUUCCCGGGCCUUGUACACACCGCCCGU